GGCUACGUAGUUCAGAUGGUUAGAACACAUCACUCAUAAUGAUGAGGACCCCUGUUCAAGUCAGGGCGUAGCUA
rnacentral:tRNA from 1 species